AACAGAGAAAACAGCUCUCUAGCUUAAAUUGACAGAUUUUAGGAGAGGGGUCCAGCUGCAUCAUCUCUCAGAGCAGUCAUCCCUCAGGGUCUCUACAGUAUGCUUCCACCUACUGAUAUGUAAUCUCUCAGUGCAGUGCAUCUCUCAGGAAAAUUGGGGUUUUCGAAAGAAGUGGACGUUUCGACAGGAACCAUAUAAGCAGAAGUGGGGGUUUCGAAAGGUGCCACUCAAGAUGUCGUUUGAGUUAUCAGACGUUAGUCAAGGUCUGCAGAGAUGACAGUAAGGAAUUUCAGUUAUGCAACAACAAAAAAGUCUUCACUCACUGAGAGCUGUGUCUUUGAACAUAUUAAUUAAUUUAUUUUAAUUUCACCUUUAUUUAACCAGGUAGGCAAGUUGAGAACAAGUUCUCAUUUACAACUGCGACCUAGCCAAGAUAAAGCAAAGCAGUUCGACACAUACAACAACACAGAGUUACACAUAGAGUAAAACAAACAUACAGUCAAUAAUACAUUACCUAUCAGUAGCCAUGUAUGUAACGUUAACUUUUUCAUAAAUAGCUACCUUAAAUAGCUACCGUAAAUAGCUACCUGAACAUAAAAACUGCAUUCAUUUUACAAUGUGUUAUUUAUUACUGAAUAUUUGAAAUAAUAAUUGAAAUAUUUAGUAGUUAUGGAGUUCCAGCACUUCUAGUGUUAACAUGCUGACUAGACCAGGCAAUCGCGCGCAUGUUGAUUUUGUCCAUCCACACCAGACACGAUCAGGUCACGCAGGUUGAAAUAUCAAAAGAACUCUGAACCAACUAUUAAUUUGUGGACAGGUCGAAACACAUGAAACAUUGCUAGCUAAUUUGUCCUGGGAUAUAAACAUUGGGUUGUUAUUUUACUUGAAAUACACAAGGUCCUUUUUUCUGGAUCUUUGUAAAACUUUGACCCAUUUGAGUCACACAAAUCGUGUGUUCUCUACUCCGACAAUUAAUCCACAGAUAAAAGGGGAAACCUAGUUAGUUUCUAGUAAUCUCUCCUCCUUCAGGCUUCUUCUUCUUCUGUGUUAUAUGUCGGCUGGCAACCAACUUUAAGGUGCAUUACCACCACCAACUGGACUGGAGUGUGGACCUCAGUUCAUCUUUCAUUCACCCACGUGGGUAUAUGCUCCUAAAAACCAAUGAGGAGAUGGGAGAGGCGGGACUUGCAGCGCGUCAAAAUUAGAACCAACCGCGCAAGUAGUUUGGAUGAAAUGAUUGAAUGAUUUAUUUUGCAAAGCUCCUUCCUGCACAUAAUGCGGGUGGUGUGGUCAGCAUGUAAGACUCUUUUGCGAAAGCCCCACUUCUCCUUAUAUGGUUCAUUUCGAAACGCCCACUCCUUUUGACACCCCUACUUUUCCUGAGAGGUGCACUGCACUGAGAGAUGACAUAUCAGUAGGUGGCAGCAUAGACCCUGAGGGAUGACUGCUUUGAGAGAUGAAGUCGCAGUUGGACCCUAAGGGAUAUUAUGCUAAUUUGAUUUCAGCAGGGCUGCAGAAAUUGACUAGGUUAAAUGUUCAAAGUUUCUUUUGAAAAAAAUAUUUAAAACAGAGUAGUGUUACCAUAUUACAUCGAGUGUUAGUUUCAUGUCACAAGGUUGACCUUAAAAUGAGGGACAGAGGUAAAUUAAUCACUAAUCACAUGAAAUUAAUAAUAAUAUUCAGAAAUAACUUUGUCAAAGCAACAAAAUAACUAUGGCUUUACAAUGACGGUGAAAACUUGGAGAAAUGUUGGAGUUAAAUGGGUUAAAAUCUUCCUAGAAGUCAGAGAUUGCAAGUCUUUAUUCAUAUAAAAAAUCUGAUUUAUUGAAUUCUCCAUAUUGUCUAUGUUAACGGGGCACUUUAUUUAUUAUAACAGUCUUUUAAAAUUCAAUAUUGGUGCACAAUUUCUACUUAAAUUAUUAAAGGGGCGCAAAAGGCGCUCUUUUUGUGGAACAACCCAAGUAAGGGUGAUGAUGAGAGGAAGAAAUACGAUGCAGGCCACAGCAUUGCAACACCUUUUUCACAAGUGUGUAACAAAGCUCUCAACACAGUCAGACUCACACGCAUUUAAUACGCACACUGUGCUCAUAUGAGGAAGUCCUCUUCAACUACCGAUCCUUCCACACCCUCCGCCUCAAUCUCCAUCUGUUGAGAGGAGCACCCCCAUCAUGGCAUAUGGGAUCCUGGCCUGGUAUCUCUCUGCUCUACUGGGGCUUCUCCUGACCCCUUCACUAGGGUUGGAUCCUCCACGGAUCUCCUUCCCCCUCGAAAGCCCAGAGAGACCUCUUACCUUAUUCAGCAACCCAGACAUUAAAAACACAACCACAAUGUUGCUAAAAGACGAUGGCUGAACUCUGUUCGUAGGGGCACAAGAUGCUGUGCUCUCAUUGGAUGUCAGCCAGCCUGAUGUCAUUACCAUGAAGAUUAAGAUGGAAUGGAAGCCCUCUCGAUCUUUACAUGUGUACCACUAAAGGCAAGAAAGAAACGAGUCAGGGUUUCUCCACAAAGCUGUGCUGUUGAACAAGGAUACCCACAUCAUAGAAGAGAUCCAAGUGUUCAGACAACCACAGCUGGUGAAAAACAUAUCUCCAAGGGUUUUCUUUAUGUGGGGUCCUCUGAAGGGGUGACCCAGGUGCCUGUGUCCCAGUGCCCAUCCUAUAAGAGCUGUGCCCAAUGUGUGUUGGCACGAGACCCCCUCUGUGGCUGGGACCCUGCCAGUGGACACUGUGCCAGUGUGUCUGCUAUUCCAGCCAAUGCCAUGGCAACGUGAUGGAGUGUCAAGGUUCCCUCACUGCUAAACCUCUGCCAGUGGAGGUGUACGUACAGCUAAAUGAAGUAGUGAGGUUGAAUUGUUCCACAUCCUCCAAUCUGGCAACCCUGAGUUGGAAGCCCGCCAAAGCCAGCGCUCUGCCCCACAACCUCUUUCACCCUAGAGAUGAGUCUGGUCUUCAUGGCCACACCUGACACCUUUGGAAUCUACCACUGCAUCUCUGUGGAGAGGGGUUAUGAGGAGAUGGCAUCUAUCAACACUGAGACAGUGUCUCUCCUCGGGCCAUUGAUACUCCAGCCAUUCAAAUCCGGAUCACCACAAACAUCCAGAGGACCACAGAGACUAAAGACCAGAUGACCACCAUGAUUGAGAUUCCAAGCGACACAGGAGAAGCUAGACCUCAUCAACUUUGGGGAGGAUCCAGUCAUCCCCACAGACGUAACCACAACCAACAAGACUCCAGACACACAGUCCACGACUGAGCAUCUCGAGGACAAGACCCUGUCAUGACGUUGGCCUCUUUUGGUACAGGGAGGACAGUUGACUUCCCCCCAAUCCACCCUGUGUGUAAAGGGUUGUAAAAACUCUAAAAUUCCAGGAGAGUCUCUGGCCACAUGGCCCAUAGAGAGACACAGGAAAUUCUUCCAACUCAUAGAAUUGGAGAGCCAAGCGACAUUUUGUGUUCUGGAGAAGGUAUGGAA